GAUGAACGCUGGCGGCGUGCCUAAUACAUGCAAGUCGAGCGAACAGACGAGGAGCUUGCUCCUCUGACGUUAGCGGCGGACGGGUGAGUAACACGUGGAUAACCUACCUAUAAGACUGGGAUAACUUCGGGAAACCGGAGCUAAUACCGGAUAAUAUAUUGAACCGCAUGGUUCAAUAGUGAAAGACGGUUUUGCUGUCACUUAUAGAUGGAUCCGCGCCGCAUUAGCUAGUUGGUAAGGUAACGGCUUACCAAGGCAACGAUGCGUAGCCGACCUGAGAGGGUGGUCGGCCCCACUGGAACUGAGACACGGUCCAGACUCCUACGGGAGGCAGCAGUAGGGAAUCUUCCGGAAUGGGCGAAAGCCUGACGGAGCAACGGCGCGUGAGUGAUGGAAGUCUUCGGAUCGGAAAACUCUGUUAUUAGGGAAGAAAAAAUGUGUAAGUAACUAUGCACGUCUUGACGGUACCUAAACAGAAAACCACGGCUAAAUACCUG
rnacentral:rRNA from 1 species